AUGAACGCUGGCGGCGUGCCUAAUACAUGCAAGUCGAGCGAACAGACGAGGAGCUUGCUCCUCUGACGUUAGCGGCGGACGGGUGAGUAACACGUGGAUAACCUACCUAUAAGACUGGGAUAACUUCGGGAAACCGGAGCUAAUACCGGAUAAUAUAUUGAACCGCAUGGUUCAAUAGUGAAAGACGGUUUUGCUGUUACUUAUAGAUGGAUCCGCGCCGCAUUAGCUAGUUGGUAAGGUAACGGCUUACCAAGGCAACGAUGCGUAGCGGACCUGAGAGGGUGAUCGGCUAGACGGGAACAGAGGCACGUUCGAGACCCUUGCGGGAGGAAGCAGUAGGGAAUCUUCCGGAAUGGGCGAGUGCCUAACAUAGCAACGCCGGGUGAGUGAUGAAGGACUUCGGAUCGUAAAACGCUGUUAUUAGGGAAGAACAAAUGUGUAAGUAACUAUGCACGUCUUGACGGUACCUAAUCAGAAAGCCACGGCUAACUACGUG
rnacentral:rRNA from 1 species